UGUAGUUAAGCAGUAUGGAAAAAAAGCAUACAAGGCAGAAAUCUCAAAAAUCCCGAACGAAUAACGAUAUGAACUAAAAAUUUUGCAAAAAAUUUUCUGCGAUGGUUAUCCUUUCUUAAUGCUGGCGAUUUUCGUGAGGAUUUAUGACGUAUACAAGAAGGAGAUACAAGAAGGUUCCAUAUCACUGAUCUCAAAACUUGAAUCGGACACCACUCAUUCAUAUCCGAAUUUAGCCCAAUGCUAUCAAUGGAGGAAGAUAUACAUGAUUCGAACCUUUGAACUUUCCACCUUUUAAUCGUUAAUUGUAAAAGCAUAACGCCAUCUCUUGUUAUUUUAUUCUCUGCUCUUUUGUUUUUGCAAUAUGAAUGCAUGUA
rnacentral:sRNA from 1 species